UGCUUAACACAUGCAAGUCGAACGAUGAAGCCCAGCUUGCUGGGUGGAUUAGUGGCGAACGGGUGAGUAACACGUGAGCAACCUGCCCCUGACUGUGGGAUAAGCCCGGGAAACUGGGUCUAAUACCGCAUAUGACCUUGGACCGCAUGGUUUUUGGUGGAAAGUUUUUCGGUUGGGGAUGGGCUCGCGGCCUAUCAGCUUGUUGGUGGGGUAAUGGCCUACCAAGGCGACGACGGGUAGCCGGCCUGAGAGGGCGACCGGCCACACUGGGACUGAGACACGGCCCAGACUCCUACGGGAGGCAGCAGUGGGGAAUAUUGCACAAUGGGGGAAACCCUGAUGCAGCGACGCCGCGUGAGGGAUGACGGCCUUCGGGUUGUAAACCUCUUUCAGUAGGGAAGAAGCCUUCGGGUGACGGUACCUGCAGAAGAAGUACCGGCUAGCUACGUGCCAGCAGCCGCGGUAAUACGUAGGGUACAAGCGUUGUCCGGAAUUAUUGGGCGUAAAGAGCUCGUAGGCGGUCUGUCGCGUCUGCUGUGGAAACGCAAGGCUCAACCUUGCGCGUGCAGUGGGUACGGGCGGACUAGAGUGCAGUAGGGGAGUCUGGAAUUCCUGGUGUAGCGGUGAAAUGCGCAGAUAUCAGGAGGAACACCGGUGGCGAAGGCGGGACUCUGGGCUGUUACUGACGCUGAGGAGCGAAAGCAUGGGGAGCGAACAGGAUUAGAUACCCUGGUAGUCCAUGCCGUAAACGUUGGGCACUAGGUGUGGGACCCAUUCCACGGGUUCCGUGCCGCAGCUAACGCAUUAAGUGCCCCGCCUGGGGAGUACGGCCGCAAGGCUAAAACUCAAAUGAAUUGACGG
rnacentral:rRNA from 1 species